rnacentral:rRNA from 1 species
AGUGAACGCUGGCGGUAGGCCUAACACAUGCAAGUCGAACGGCAGCACAGUAAGAGCUUGCUCUUACGGGUGGCGAGUGGCGGACGGGUGAGGAAUACAUCGGAAUCUACUUUUUCGUGGGGGAUAACGUAGGGAAACUUACGCUAAUACCGCAUACGACCUACGGGUGAAAGCAGGGGAUCUUCGGACCUUGCGCGAUUGAAUGAGCCGAUGUCGGAUUAGCUAGUUGGCGGGGUAAAGGCCCACCAAGGCGACGAUCCGUAGCUGGUCUGAGAGGAUGAUCAGCCACACUGUAACUGAGACACGGUCCAGACUCCUACGGGAGGCAGCAGUGGGGAAUAUUGGACGAUGGAGGCAAGCCUGAUCCAGCCAUACCGCGUGAGUGAAGAAGGCCUUCGGGUUGUAAAGCCCUUUUGUUGGGAAAGAAAAGCAGCAGGUUAAUACCCCGCUGUUCUGACGGUACCCAAAGAAUAAGCACCGGCUAACUUCGUG